AAGGAAACACUAAAGCUGGGUGGUGGCGGCGGCGCACACCUUCAAUCCCAGCAGAGGCAGGUAGGGAUCUCAGAGCUCCAGGCCAGCAAGGUCUACUGAGCGAGUUCCAGGACAGUUAGGGCUACACAAAGAAACCUGUCUCGAAAAACCGAAAAGAAAGAAACACUUUAUUGUGUGCCCAACGCUGUUUUGUGUGCUUGAUAUACAGCAACGACAAGUGAUCGAAUCCUGCCCCCAUAGUCGCAGACAUAGUUUUGAACCCUUGACUGGCUCCAAAGCCCAGCGCCCUGGAAAUGGGGAAUAAAAGGUUGCCUUUCGCUUGUACUCCGACCUAUAGCCAGAUGAUUCCAGGACGUCUUGUGCCCAGGAUGUGUUAUUCCCAACUCUCUGCUCACCAACUCAAAUGGGGCUUUUCUUUUCCUUGCCCCUCCCAUAUACGAAGCCAUACUGCAACAUGACUCUCUCUGCCUUUGUUUUGUUUUGAAUCAGGGGUUCGCUUUGUAGCCUAGGCUGGUCUUGAACUCACGAUGCUCUUGCCACAGCUUUCUUAAUAUCAGGAUUACAGGAAUGGGUCACCAAGCCCUUCUGCCUCCUCUCUCAAUUCUGUUUCCAAGUUCCAUGAAAGCUCUGUUUCCCACCCCAACUACUGGGAUAAUCACCUCUGCAGUCACUAGAAUCCCAUUUCCAUUACUUGCCCACUUCGGUGUGUCCCACCUCUCUUCCUAAGGUUCCGGCCUGCCUUGCAAGACUCCUUUGCAGACCUCUCACCAGUGCUACCCAUAACUGAGAAGAGAUGGUAAGGAGCCGUAGAGUGGGGACACUGUAGGAAAGAACCUCCUCUGGAUUCCUGACUGUUGGGUGUUGGAGGCAGGAGACAGAGCCUGGGACGGUGUCUUGCCAACCCAGCUCCCCUCAUUGCCAUUCCACACCCAGCCUUGACAAGACACCACACUCAGGCCACCAACCGCCGUGCCAACGUUUGUUCUAUAGACUCGUUUCCUAAAGUAUCCCGAGGUGCUGUAGACUUUCUUCAGAGCUCCUUAGGGACAGAGAGUGAACAGGCCUGCGGGAAACACAUGUGUGGAGAAGAAGGAGGAAGAAGAAGAAGGAACCGGGAACAUGGCGCCGGAUUUUAAAGGCUGGGCGUGGACAGAUCAGCGUCACUACUACACGCAAGCGCGUAGAUCACAUGGCCACGUUGCGCGCCUACGUAGCCAAUGGAACGUCACGGAUCUUGGUCACGCAAGAUGCCCUGACCCGGAAAUGGCUAUCCUGACCUGGAACUGGCUAGGUGGAAGUGUCUGUUGGGCAUAUGCGAACACGCCCGACCGUGGGGGCGUGUUGUAAACCUUUCAUCCCUGACUCUUCCUUUUUUAAAAAAGAAAAAAAUUGUGGUUGCCUGGGUAUGGGGGCGACGUUUCUCUCAAAGACUGCUUCCAGCUGAAUAGUGGGCGUUGGUUGGCUCUUGGGGGGCAGGGGGAUGAGAGGGUAUCUUGUGAAGUCCUGGGAUGAUGGUGGGCAGGUCCUGGAAUGAAGUUCUGCCGUCCCCUCGUUCUGCGGCUGUCCAUCUGUGCUGUGGCUGGGAACCCUCCGUGUUGUAGCUAGGAACCUUCUGUUUGACAAGAUACUGUUGACAUAGAAAAGGCUUAGAGAGAAAGAAUCAUUAUUAUUUUAUUUUGGAGUUGGCAUUUGUCUGAGGUAGAUCUGGCCUGUCUAGAUAGAGACAUGUGAUAUUUACCUGAGGUAGAUCUGGCCUUAGUACUCUGCUUAAUUUCUAUCUGAGACAAGCCUUAUUAGAGGUAGUUUAUUUAAGGCACCGGUUUCCCUUAUUAGGUUAGCAUUUAGGAAACACAGGUUAUCAGUUACUGAGUAUCGAACAAUGAUAGAUUAUUGUAUUACAUUAUUCCUUACCGCCUGGAUAUUUUUGAUGGUCCCUUUUGCCUCCGGCUCUGUGUGUCUACCUGAGAGACUGUGUCUACCUGAGAGACUGGUAGGGGAAAGGAAUUGUUAGAGUCAGAAGAGUGAGUGGCUAGGAGGAGAAGUAAAGGAGCUGCUGGCAUGUCUGGGAUGAGGCGAAUGUGUGGAGCGAAAGAAAUGGACGCUCCUACCUUAGCUAGAAGAUCCCUCCCCAUUAAAGGUACAGGGCAGCUUGGCACCACUAAGAAUGUGUGUGUGAGAGGGAUGCCUCUGAAAAUGCAACUGAGUGGUGGUGUCUGAUGAGGUAGAUAAGGCUGUCCCCUAACCCUGACAAUAGGGAGACGAGCAGGAGAGGUGGACCCCCAAAACUCUCUCAGGACAGAGUAGGUAGCUCCGGUGUCCAAAAGGAACGAGAUGGGGCUGCCCAUUGACCUUUAUAAUUACCCUAGGUUCCCUGUGUGAGAUGGGAGUGGCCGGGGCAGAAACCAGGCAGCAGCAGUCCUCGCUGUAAGCCAAGCCUACAAAGUCAGCUGGAGGGUGGUCUUCAUCUGGCGUUCCUAUGUCGCUUGGGACAUUAGGACAGUCAGCUGACCAGUGACCCUUUUGGCAACACUUUGGACAAGGCUUUGUCGGUGCCCUUCAUGGGCCGGUGGUGCAAGCCUGGGCCCAAUGGCCUUCUCUCCCACACUUGAAGCAGGGACCAGAUGGCUUUCGGGGAGCCGGUCGGACAGUGCUUGCCAGCAUCUGGCAGCUCCUUUUAUGGGCUUUUUCAUCUCUACCAUGGAACACCUUAAACGCUAUCACCAGCACAUCUGCCUGUGGAGUUAGAGGGCCGUUCUCCAAACGUUUAAGUUUAUCCCUAAUGUUAGGGAAGCUCUGUGAGACAAACUGGGUUAUUAGCAGCUGCCUGCCCUCAGGGCUCUCCAGGUCUAAGCUAGUGAACUGAAGUAGAGCUUUGGUGAGCCGCUCUAAGAAAUGAGACGGAUUUUUGUCCUCAUCUUCAUUAACCAUUUUUAGUUUUUCAUAGUUUACUGGUUUUAGGGCAGCCUUACGGAGACCUGUCAGGAGACAGAUAAUAAACCUAUCUCUGGCUAGACAGCCACCCUGGGUGUUAUAAUCCCAGUGUGGCUCUCGGUCAGGAACCGCCUCAGCUCCUGGAGGGUGUGAAAGGUUAGUUUGAUGAAUUUCGUCUGCGUGAAUCCUAGCCUGCUCCCAAACCCGCCUGCGCUCCUCAGGAAGUAAGUUAUUAGAAAGUAUCAUGAAUAUAUCAUGAAAGGUAAGACUAUAAGAUUGAGUUAUAUAUUGAAACUGUUUAAUAAAGGCAGCAGAAUUAAAAGUAUAAGAACCCAGCUUACUUUCUAUCUGAGAGAGUUAUGCUAGAGAGAAUGGAACAUGAACUUUAAUCAGUCCAUCCACACCAGCCACCUCUCGCAAAGGGAGAACAGUGGAAGGUUUUGGAUGGCUGGAAUCAGGCAAUUUAGCAGCCCGAGAGCGGGUGGUAGGAGGAGUGAAGUUUGGAGCUAGGGCAGGGCCUUUGGAACCGGCCGCUGCCGAGGAAGGAGCAGCUUUAGAAGAAGAAGAAUCUGGAAGGGGAGCGGAAGGAACGGUUUUCUAGGAGUUGGAGCUGGAGGUCGAAUAGGUGGAGGUUCGUUAGCAGGAUCUAGAGUCAGAGAUUCCGGAGUCAGAGAAUCCUCCGGUUCAGGCAUAGCCAGGAGCAUAUGAGCAGGAGAGAAGGAAUCCAGAAGAGACGGUUUAGCACUGAGAAAGAAAAAUGCUAUGACAUAGGGCAACUCUUGCCAUCUGCCUGAGCGCUGACAGUAAUUAGAUAACUCCCGUAAGAUAUCGGGAUCUAAGGAGCUGCUCGGCGGCCAUUUUUUGUUGUUUUCUAAAGCAUACUUUGGCCAUUUUUUAGAACAUAGAUGAGUUAUCUUAGGAAUCUUUAUGUAAGGCAUUAAACUAAGAGGUUUUAAAGCUUCAACAAGACAGCCUAACGGAGAGGAAGGACUAACAGGGUUGGAAGCCUUGUUUCCCAUGUCUGCAGCGGAGAGGCAGAAAAAUAAAAAAGAUAAAAAAACAAACUUGAUCCGGAGCCAAGGCCCCAGGCGUCCCCAAGGCCAAGGACGGAUCCCGGGCACAAGCCGCUCCUUGGCUCGUCAGCCACAGAAGCGGGGGCCCCUGCCACGUGAGGAAAGGAUUCCCCGGGAAUCCAGACAGCGUCUGCCGCUUCAUCAAGUCGGAUGAACGUGUCGGCCCCACGUGGCCCCCAGGACGCACCCAACGGUGGUGGUCCCAACGCGAGAAAUAUCUCAGGCUGCAGACGUGGGAGAGGGCUAGAAAUCUGAGGCCUGCAAUAGGGGCCGACCGUAGCCAAUGAAGACCGUGGUCGGGGGUUCCCCCGGUCUCAAGAAUACUUGUGAGGUACCGGUUGUUCUCACAGAUUCAGGAAACCGUUUACACUGGCCGAAAAAUGGGGGGGACUCACCAAUCGGAGAAAGCGGUGUUGCAUGGAAUUUCUGCGGUCAGGCAAAAUGGAGAGCGGUCUGUCGCGUACGGAGCAGAGUGUUGCAGUCCCCGGUUACGGGUUUCCAGGCGCAGGGUGCCCGGAAGCGCCCACUUGGUUUCGGCACCAAAAUGUUAGUUUUUCGAGACAGGGUUUCUCUGUGUAGCUUUGCGCCUUUCCUGGAACUCACUUGGUAGCCCAGGCUGGCCUCGAACUCACAGAGAUCCGAGUCACGGCACCAAAAUGUUAGUUUUUCGGCUGCGUUGUGUUCUUACCCUGCAAGGAAAUGCCACGAAACACGACAGAAUCCGCUAACAAGAGUUUUAUUAAAGGGACAGAGAGUGAACAGGCCUGCGGGAAACACGUGUGUGGAGAAGAAGGAGGAAGAAGAAGAAGGAACCGGGAACAUGGCGCCGGAUUUUAAAGGCUGGGCGUGGACAGAUCAGCGUCACUACUACACGCAAGCGCGUAGAUCACAUGGCCACGUUGCGCGCCUACGUAGCCAAUGGAACGUCACGGAUCUUGGUCACGCAAGAUGCCCUGACCCGGAAAUGGCUAUCCUGACCUGGAACUGGCUAGGUGGAAGUGUCUGUUGGGCAUAUCCGAACACGCCCGACCGUGGGGGCGUGUUGUAAACCUUUCAGCAACUAUUCAGAAAGAAUUUCAUUCUUUGGUUAGUUGGCUAUUUGUUUUUGAAACAUAGGCUCACUUAGCCCUAGCGAACCUUAACUUAAGGUGUAGCUGAGGAUAACCCUGAGUUCCUCAUCCUCUCACCUCUGCCUCCCAAAGGCUGGGAGUCUAGUUGUGUGUAUCCACUCUCAGCAAGAUUUAGUUCAUUUUGGACAAUAUUUUUCUAUUACGUAGCUCUAGCCGCCCUGAACUCACUAUACAGACUGGGCUGACCUAGAACUCACAGAGAUCCUCCUGCCUCUGCCUCCUGAGUGCUGGGAUUCAAGUCAAGCACCACCACACCUAACCAAGAUUGAAUUCUUUAUGGAAAAAUAAAUAUCAUGUCUAUCUCAUUAGUAUGCAAAUUUUCCUUCCUCUGUAAUAAAGAUUAUAAAAUGA